CAAAGUGUCCUUUAACCAGUGGAUCAGAGACGUCGUGCUCAAAAUGUGCACACGUCGGCUACAAGCUAAGUUUCAAAGUCAACAGCGCCGACAUCUCCACUGAACAAAACGGGGUUGUGAAAAAUGCUGCGCAUUACAGGCACAAAAAACAAGUGCCCCAGGUCUGUCCAGCACCUGACAGUCAAUGGCGCCGACAUUCCUCCCAAUCAAAAUCUGUGCUGGUACAGGCGUGCUGCCGAGAAGGUGCAACCACCAAGCACAGAUUCUUCUCCUUUGACGAAUGUCGUGACCAAAAAACGCUGAAAACAGUCCAUAUAGUCAAAAAACAAUCAUCAUCAUCAGUAAGAGCGAGUGGACUUUGUCGCGUCAGGCAACUUUAUUUGGAAGGUUUCCCACAACCGUUUUAAAACGAGUCACGGCAAGACAUGGUGACAGAUCUGACAGACUGGAGUGACAGCUGAAACUGCCAACAAAGGAAGAGAAUUGUCUUUACUGGAUAAAAACAUUUGUCUGAACAAAAGAAAUUUAAAACUUGAAUAGAAGAUGAGAGAAAACAAGAUGAAUGCUGAAGUUUGAUACACCAGUUCGACACGAACAACAAAAUAUCCAGCUAACUGCAACACAUACAGACAAGUUUCAUACCUGGCAGAGCAAAGAUGAGUUUCCGCGUUCCAUCAAUGUCAACAGUGGCAAAGGUAGUAGGAAGACUGAAAACAAACACAGAACCCUUUUCUUAAGCAUAGCUCUAUAAGCAAGUUGCAUUAUCAGUUACAAAAUAACAAUUUGCAACAAUUUAACCAUAGGCGAGUGGAAACAAUAUUCUUAAAAUGUCUCUCCGUUUUAUUUGCAUAUACUGUAAACCUUUAGGAUUGUGGUUUGCUGUUGAAUCUUGAAAUUAUUUAUCUUCAAAAAUGUAUCGUGUUUGCAGGACUGAAUUGAAUAUGAGCAGGGUUGCUUCCUUUGAUGAAAGAUGGAAACGCUUUGUGCUUCCUGUACAGUAGGUGGCGGUAUGCCUCAAAGAGCUGUUGUGAGUGGCUUGGGAGGAGGAAAAAUGAUGUCACUUCACUUUGGUAUAACAACAUAAUCUACAAUUUUUUUUUAAGUUCUAUUUUUUAGGGAGGCGUAAUGAUUUGCAUGGUGUACGGUCAGUGGCGCGAGGCAUCAAAAUGGUCUAAUCCACCAACGAUCCAAGAAGAAGAAGAUGAUCAAAACUGGAAAAUUCAGCAUGGAUGAGUCAGAGUUUGGAUCUUACCUUCUCUCCCAUGGAGACGCCCCCUGAGGUGAUGAUGACAUCAGCACGACUGAUUCCCUCAUGAAGAGCUGAGAGCAGGUCAUCAGGGCUGCGCAUAUAGGUUGAUGGUUGGAUAUCCAUGUUCCUGGAUGGUCGCGAGCAGAGUCGAACGGUUGGAGUCUCUGAUCUUUCCUGGGUGGAGGUCAUCUUCUGGAUUCAACAGCUUGAAUGCAAUAAAUCAGUGAGUUCAUGAACAGAGAAC